GCUGCAGACAUAAGAUAGCGGCUAGCGGUCCAUGGUUAUAUAGUCAAAGAUCCGCUAUGUUUCGUCAAAUCUCACAUAGUAUCCAAUUCAUUGAAUAAAGAAUACCAGGAAGGAGUAUAGAAGAGAAAAUCCUUUGUUAGCAGUGCGAAGAAUGUAACAUCAUAAAACUGAACCAAUUGCGAUUAUCGAUACCAUGAAUUGAAGUUGUGACGUCAUGUUGUCGAGAGCAAGCAGAAACUAAUGAAAAAGAACAGGCAGAUUGAGAGUGACAGAUUGAGAGUGACAGAUUGAAGAAUAUUUUACAUUUUAAUUGUUAAAUAAGUAUAAAAUGGUUGUUUAUGUGGUUUUGCAAAAACAAAAGGGCAUGUGGAAACAUUUCAUACUUUCCCAAAACAUCCAACAGCAAAAAUGGAUUGAUUUUAUGAAUAUGCCAAAUUGGCAGGCACUACCAAACAGCAAAUUAUGCUCUAAGCACUUUAGUGCUGACUGCUUCGACAGACCCGGAAAAAUCACUAAAUUAAUUAGUAUGGCUGUUCCUACUAUUAAGUUUGAAAGAUUCGAAUAGAUAUAAAAACAGAAAAGAGCACACAAAAUAAUUAUGCUUUCCGAAAAACCUAUUACUGAAACUUAUCCCAAGUAAUGGAAGUAAAUACUAUUAAUAUGGAUGAAGAGCCACCAACUUCUAAUGAAAUGUUGCAAUCAGUGUAAUAGCAAGCAAAUAAUCUUCCUAAUACUUCAAGUAAAGAAAAGAAUGAGUCUUCUUGAUCUUAUUAUUCAAAGCCAGAUGAUACUCCAAGAAAAAGUCAUCUAAAAAGAAAAAUUAUGAGAAUGGCUACGAAUGAAAAGUUACUGAGAAAACAAAUAACAAAAUUACAAAAAGUGACAUAUCGACAGAAACGUCGAAUUGAAAAUUUAAUAUCUGUUGUUUCAAAAUUGCAAAGAAAUAGUAUGAUUACUUAUAAUGCUAAAGAAGUGUUGCUAAAUUGUUUUGGUAGUAAUAGAAAUUUAUUUUUAAAUAUAUUUAAAAGAGCUUUAUAUAAGAAUAAGAGAUGCAAACAAAAAUAUGAAGAAGAUAUUCGAAAAUUUGCAAUAACUCUUCACUAUUUUUUACCAAGAGCAUAUAAUUACGUAAGUAAUUUUAAAUGGUGCAUUGCCUCAUUAUAAAACUUUAUCGAAAUGGUAUAAAACUAUUAAUGGUGAACCAGGCUUUAUUUCAGAAUCUUUCGAAAUAUUAAAAAAAGAUAUAAGAAUGUAGAAAAAAAUAUUUGUUGUUCUCUCGUAUUUGAUGAAAUGAGUAUAAGACAACACGUAGAAUGGGUGAAUGAUAAAGUAUAUGGACUAGUUAGUGUUAGAAAUAAUGUUAGUGAUGAAAAUAUUGGUUAUGCCAAACAAAUUUUUGUUUUCAUGAUUAUUGCUAUUAAUGAAUCAUGGAAACUUCCAUUAGGAUGCUUUUUUAUAGAUAGCUUAAAUAGCAACAAAAAAGCUGAUUUAACUAAUAAUUGUUUACAAUUAUUGAAAGAUUGCCGAAUUACUAUCACAAAUAUUACGUUUGACUGUUGUCCAACAAAUUUAACUGCGAAAAUUCUUGGUUGUAAAUUUGAUUUUAAAACAUGUUUAAGAAAUCAAAAUGAAAAAAAAACAAUGCUUGUUUUACAAACCAAAACAAGAAAUGAAAAUCCUUUAUUCAUAUUUCCAGAUCCGGCACAUAUUAAAUUAAUUCGUAAUACUUUUGGAGAAAAAAAAUUUUUUUGAUGACCAAAAUCAAGAAAUUAAUUUUAAAUACCUUCAAAAGUUAAAUGAACUGCAAGAAAAAGAAGGAUUACAUUUGUGUAAUAAAAUUACUAAACGUCACAUAGAUUUUUUUUAACAAAAAAUGAAGGUCAAGCUAGCUACGCAAUUAUUAAGUAACUCUGUAGCAGAAGCUUUAAUAUUUUGUGCUGAACAAUUAAAAUUAGAGGAUUUUAAAAAUGCUGGUGCCACGAUCAGAUUUAUUUUUAUUAUGAAUAAUGCAUUUGAUAUAUUAAAUUCUAGAAAGAUAUCAGAUUUUGGUUUUAAACAAGCACUGUGUGAAAAAAAUGUUGAAAAAGUUGAAAAAUUUUUUGAAAGUUUAACCGAUUAUAUAACAAAGUUGAAAAAUUGUGAUGGAACUUUAAAUUGUGAUAGAAUUUUAAAUUGUAACCGAAAGACUAGAUUUUUAUGUUUGUUAAUCUCUAUGAAAAGUUUACUUAGUAUUUAUAAAAUAUCUAUUGAUAAAUAUAAUCUAUCGUUCAUACUAGCUAAAAUGUCACAAGACCAUUUGGAGUUAUUUUUUGGGUCUAUAAGAUCUUGUGGAGGAUAUAACAAUAACCCAACUUGUCGACAGUUUAUAUCUGCGUAUAAGAAAAUAUUAAUCCGUGCGGAAAUACGAGAACAUGGAGUCGGGAAUUGCAUACCUUUGCAAAAUAUUAAUAUUCUUAAAUGUAGUUCAAAUAUAUGCAACAAGACAUGUACAGAUCUUAACAAAAAUAACAUUGUAAGUACAAAUUUACAAAAGAGUAUUCAAAAAAUUUAACAUUUGAUCAUGAUUAUGUAUUAGACUUUAAUUUGUCGCAAUAUUCUAAGGAAAUAAUAAUUUAUAUCAGUGGUUUUGUUGCAAAAAAAUUGUUUUCUAUUGAAUGUACAGACUGUUCAUCAGCAGUUGUUGGAAGUAAAGAUAAUUUAGAAAAUACAUUUUUGGCAUUUAAAGAUCUGGGAAGGUUAAUGUAUCCCAGUGAUGACCUUAUUCAAAUUUGUAUGGAUUGUGAAAUAAUAUUGCGCAGUUUCUCAUGUAACGAAUUAUUAAUGAUGUCAUCAUUAAAAGAAAAGUUGGAACAAAAUAUAAAUAAAUUUGUAAACAUGCAAAUUUUUUUACAGUUAUCGAUAAAUUAUGAUCUAAACACUUUAGAAAAGCAUAUCAUUUAUUUAAUUACAAAAAUUGUUACAGAGUUUUAUAAAUUGAGGAUGCAUCAUAUUUGUAAAAGUGCAAUACACGCUAAUAACCAAAGUUAUGUUCGAAUAUUUUAUAAUAAAUUGAUUUUAUUUAAAGGCCAAUAAAUAACUAUUUAUAUAAAAACUGUAAUAUUUUUUUUCAUAGGUUUUUUCCUGAUCGAAUAACGAGCAACUUCUACAGUGGGACAUUAAAAAAUAUCAUAUUUUUAUCAAUUUUAUCAAGAAAAUUCAUCAACUGACGUAUUACGGUUUUUUAACGUUAUUUAACUUUAUCUUAACUUUAAAAUAAGAAAAAUAAUCAAUGUAAACAAUUGAAAUAAUAAAAUUAAAAACUUUAUUAUUUCAAACACAUAAUUUGUAACUAUAUAUAUUAAAAUUGAGUGUAAUGUGACUUUUAAUUAAGCGAACUUUCUUUAAUCAA